UAACGCGUGGAGAACCUGCCGUAUACUGGGGGAUAACACUUAGAAAUAGGUGCUAAUACCGCAUAAGCGCACAGCUUCGCAUGAAGCAGUGUAGGAAAACAAAAAGACUAAAGCUUUUGGUGGUAUACGAUGGAUCCGCGUCUGAUUAGCUAGUUGGCGGGGUAAAGGCCCACCAAGGCGACGAUCAGUAGCCGGCCUGAGAGGGUGAACGGCCACAUUGGGACUGAGACACGGCCCAAACUCCUACGGGAGGCAGCAG
rnacentral:rRNA from 1 species